rnacentral:rRNA from 1 species
CCAGACUCCUACGGGAGGCAGCAGUGGGGAAUCUUCCGCAAUGGGCGCAAGCCUGACGGAGCAACGCCGCGUGAGUGAAGAAGGUCUUCGGAUCGUAAAGCUCUGUUGACGGGGACGAACGUGCCUAAUGCGAAUAGUAUUAGGCAAUGACGGUACCCAUCGAGGAAGCCACGGCUAACUACGUGCCAGCAGCCGCGGUAAUACGUAGGUGGCGAGCGUUGUCCGGAAUCAUUGGGCGUAAAGGGAGCGCAGGCGGGCAUGUAAGUCUUUCUUAAAAGUGCGGGGCUCAACCCCGUGAUGGGAAAGAAACUAUGUGUCUUGAGUACAGGAGAGGAAAGCGGAAUUCCCAGUGUAGCGGUGAAAUGCGUAGAUAUUGGGAGGAACACCAGUGGCGAAGGCGGCUUUCUGGACUGCAACUGACGCUGAGGCUCGAAAGCCAGGGGAGCGAACGGGAUUAGAUACCCCGGUAGUCCACGCCGUAAACGAUGGAUACUAGGUGUAGGAGGUAUCGACCCCCCCUGUGCCGGAGUUAACGCAAUAAGUAUCCCGCCUGGGAAGUACGAUCGCAAGAUUAAAACUCAAAGGAAUUGACGGGGGCCCGACAAG